GUGGGGAAUAUUGGACAAUGGGCGAAAGCCUGAUCCAGCCAUGCCGCGUGUGUGAAGAAGGUCUUCGGAUUGUAAAGCACUUUAAGUUGGGAGGAAGGGCAGUAAGUUAAUACCUUGCUGUUUUGACGUUACCGACAGAAUAAGCACCGGCUAACUUCGUGCCAGCAGCCGCGGUAAUACGAAGGGUGCAAGCGUUAAUCGGAAUUACUGGGCGUAAAGCGCGCGUAGGUGGUUUUGUAAGUUGUAGGUGAAAUCCCCGGGUUCAACCUGGGAACUGCCUCCAAAACUGCAUGACUAGAGUACGGUAGAGGGUAGUGGAAUUUCCUGUGUAGCGGUGAAAUGCGUAGAUAUAGGAAGGAACACCAGUGGCGAAGGCGACUACCUGGACUGAUACUGACACUGAGGUGCGAAAGCGUGGGGAGCAAACAGGAUUAGAAACCCCUGUAGUCC
rnacentral:rRNA from 1 species